rnacentral:rRNA from 1 species
GACAUGAAGUUAGGUCAGCAAACCCGCUGAAUUUAAGCAUAUAAGUAAGCGGAGGAAAAGAAACUAAAUAGGAUUCCCUCAGUAAUGGCGAAUGAACAGGGAUGAGCUCAGCAUGGAAAUUGGGGCCUGUGGCCUUGAAUUGUAGUCUGGAGAUGUACCACCAACUGGGGCGCAGAUGUAAGCCUCUUGGAAAAGAGCAUCAAUGAGGGUGAGAGUCCCGCUUGGCAUCUGCAGUCCCCAGUGCACGGUGUACCUUCUAAGAGUCACGUUCCUCGGGAUUGGAGCGCAAAUCGGGUGGUAAGUUUCAUCUAAAGCUAAAUAUUGUUUCGAGACCGAUAGCAAACAAGUACCAUGAGGGAAAGGUGAAAAGGACUUUGAAAAGAGAGUUAAAAGUGCCUGAAAUUGCUGAAAGGGAAGCGAAUGGAAUCAGCGUAACUUGGUGAGAUUGCUGCGUGUCAAUGUGAUUGCUUGCUGCUUCAACGUAAGUGUGGUAGUAAGUCUUGAGCAGGACAUGCGCGGUGCUUCUUGCCUUGUGUGUCACCGUCAGUUCGCAGCUGGGGAAAACUUCAAAGACAUGGUAGCCUGUCUCCGGGCGGGUGAAUGUGUUUGCUGGAACUCAUGUGUGGAUUGCUUGGUGACUAAUGGGUUCCAUCUGACCCGUCUUGA